CCCUUACACUGGAAACAGAAGGAAUCCUCCAUGGCUUGUUUUAUGAGCCUAGUUUGCUUUGGUCACCUUUGCCCCUAUUGCAGGACAACCCUACUUUACUGGAUCACUAAAAAUCUCUUGCUUAUUG